CUGCCCGGGACUGCCACCCCGCUAGCCCUGCCGCCCCCAAACAGAGUCGCAGGGCUCGCGCUGAUGCAAUGAACAUCAAACGCUCCCUCCCGAGCGUGCACUCGUUCCGGUUAACCGGCAUUUCGCGCCAUCAACACGUAGCUACGAGAAGGGGCCUGGAAGACAACUCUGCCUCUCCGGCUUACAGUGCAUGGCCAGUCUUGCUUCAUCUAUACCCCCCCGCCCCGCCAACUUCCUCUCAACAACCAGAUUUUUUUGGAGCACAUGCCAGAUGCCGUAUCAUUUCAUCUAGGAUUCCAUUAGCGUCCAUGUGUUCUUCCAUCAGGAAGUGAAUAUGUCUGCCUCUGUAUCUUUCUGUGAUGUCACCAACCGUUGACGACCAGCGCUAAACUAUUUUGAGUUCCAGUAGCCAAAAGUGACUGUAUUUCUGUCCAGAUGGUUUGAUCUCUUUGGGAGAAAAAGAAGUCGGCUCUGUCCUAUUGGCUCUCCCCUCCAAGGGUGUGUUGUCUCUCCAAUUAGACUGGAAGCUCCCUGAGAGCCAGAGUGACUGCUUCUCCCUUUAACAGCCACCGCACCCGGUCAUGCAAAAUGGCCGCAACCAUGAAAACGCACAGGGCAAAAGAGAAUCGGAAUAAAUGGCAACUGUUUUCUCCAGAGUGUAUUAACAUGCUUCCAGACAACAGCAUCUUUAUUCCUUCAAUAAGUGCUG